CGCGAACGUUGGCGGCGUGCCUAACACAUGCAAGUCGUGGGGCAGCAGGCUACUGUCUUUUGGCAGUAGUGCUGGCGACCGGCAAACGGGUGAGUAACACGUAGCUUACCUACCCAUAGGUUGGGGAUAACAUCCCGAAAGGGGUGCUAAUACCCAAUAAUGAGGAGACUCCAAAGCCCUUAUGGGCGCCUAUGGAUGGGGCUGCGUCCCAUCAGCUAGUUGGUGAGGUAAUGGCUCACCAAGGCUACGACGGGUAACCGGUCUGAGAGGAUGACCGGUCACAGUGGGACUGAGACACGGCCCGCACCCCUACGGGGGGCAGCAGUGGGGAAUAUUGGGCAAUGGCCGAAAGGCUGACCCAGCAACGCCGCGUGGUGGAUGAAGCCCUUCGGGGUGUAAACACCUUUUCUGGGGGAAGAUAAUGACGGUACCCCAGGAAUAAGGGACGGCUAACUACGUGCCAGCAGCCGCGGUAAUACGUAG
rnacentral:rRNA from 1 species